GUAGAUUUAACUGCACUACAUUCUUGCUUGAGAUACUUUGUUCUAGCGCAUGAGUACAUUGAAUAUACAGGUUCCUAGAAACUAAUAAGAAAAAACAAACUAGAAAAGCACAUGGUCGUUUCUUCAUUCAAAUCUUAGCCCCAAGUCAAACAUUUUCAUUGCCACUUCGUUUGUUAUUAUUUUCAACUGCCGUGCAGCGCAGAGUGUUUGAACCCCAACCGGAUCCAAGAAUGCUUAGUGUACGUCAUUGCAGAAAUAAGAAAUAACAUCGAUUUUGAUUUACAUAUAAUGAGCUAUCAUGAGAGGAAUUCAGUUUCGAGGGGCGGAUAUUUGUCCGAAGUACACACGUUUGGAAGUGGCCUUAAUAAAGCUAAUGUUUAAUUUUUUCUCACUUCUGUGUAAAGGCGUUCAAUUAAUUGCAACACUGUGAUGAUAAUAAUAUAAAUAGACACUUUUAAUAGGUUUUCAGUAGCUGAAUGCUGCCGUUCUGCAAACGGUGUCGGCGGAUGCUUCGCCAACGAGCAGAAUUGAAUUGUUUGCCCAACUCAUUUGUAACAAUAAAGAGGAGCAGACAUGGAUGUGUGCCGACUUUUAGUGAACAUAGAUUCUAAUUGAACCCAAAAUGGCUUUAGACUAUCACUUUAUUGUGAGUGUGGGAAUUAGCAUGGCCCAUUCACAAAAAAGACAUAAUAUCUGAUAUAAUAAAAAACUUGUUUCUUUUU